GAUAACUUUUUGCCCAGAUGCUUCUCCAAGUAUGUUGCAGCAACUUGAUCUCUAAGUCCUAUGGCCUCACCUAACAGUUAUUGAUAUAUUUUUUAGUUAAGUACGAUCCACCAUUCACUAGCGAGCACAAAGCCAUCAUUGGGUCCCUCACCUAAUAGUUAUUGGGCCCAACCCCAUCUUUAUCUCAGGGUAUUUAAUGUCAAUAGAGUGGUUGUGCUUUUUUGAUGCAAUCGAAUCACUAUAACCAGUCGAGAAUGAUCAAUAUCGAAAAAGGCACCUGCAUCUUUACAACGGUGG
rnacentral:lncRNA from 1 species